rnacentral:rRNA from 1 species
GUAGGUGGCAAGCGUUGUCCGGAAUUAUUGGGCGUAAAGCGCGCGCAGGCGGUUCUUUAAGUCUGAUGUGAAAGCCCACGGCUCAACCGUGGAGGGUCAUUGGAAACUGGAGAACUUGUGUACAGAAGAGGAAAGCGGAAUUCCACGUGUAGCGGUGAAAUGCGUAGAGAUGUGGAGGAACACCAGUGGCGAAGGCGGCUUUCUGGUCUGUAACUGACGCUGAGGCGCGAAAGCGUGGGGAGCAAACAGGGAUUAGAUACCCUGGUAGUCCACGCCGUAAACGAUGAGUGCUAAGUGUUAGGGGGGUUUCCGCCCCCUUAGUGCUGCAGCUAACGCAUUAAGCACUCCGCCUGGGGAUACGGCCGCAAGGCUG